CCGCCGGCUGCCCCCGCGUCCCCGCGCCCGCCCCGGCCCGGCCCUUUCCAGCACCCAGCCCGCGCUUACCUGCAGCCUGGCACAGCCACAGACGCUCGCCGUGGGCUCCCGCGUUCGGCAGCGCGCAGGGCCGGGACGGGAUGGACGCGGGGGCACGCUGACUUCAGCCUGUGUCAAGCUGCCAUAAAACUUCUCCAGCAGAAGAGCUGAUUGGAAUAUUCCCAACCUUGGCUAUGUUCACCUUCCAAAGCAAAUGCAUGGAAUUCUCCUCUUCUAGUAGUCCCACCUAUACGUCUUGCCUGGUUACUGGCCAAAAAGUGUUUUACUCAUUCAUCAGCCAAUAAGAGAAACAUAUGUACAGAAGGACACUCCCAUCCCCAUCCCCCCCCCCCGCCCAUUAACUAACACAACAAGAAGGACUUGUAGACGGAAGCAAUUCGUUCAAAGCUCACCAUCCCAGAUGGAUAACAGUUCCUCCCCAUCGGUGGUGAAAUACACCGACAGGAGGGUGUGGAAGGCAUGCCAGGCAAAGCAGCUGUCGGGACUUCACAUCUUGACCUGCGAAUCGGAAGCAAAGAAGAGACCGUACCUGCAAAUCGGAAGCAAAGAGGAACAGUACCAGCCCUUUGAAACCUCAGAGCCCCACCCCCCGAUGAUGCACUUCCUCCAGCAAGGCCACACCUCCUAAACCCACCCACACAGGGCUGACUAACUAGGGCCCAAGUAUUCAAAUGCUUGAGAAUACACAAGACAUUUUGAAGCACCACAUUGCUCCACAUCUGUGUCGGGCAAUUUUAAACGAAAGCAUAUGCAACAGUCUACUGGAGUGAAAAAUCUCAUCCAGGCAAUAAGGUGCCUCCUAGCCUCAGUAGAAAGCAACAGUGGGAGCCACGUUUUCCAGUGCCAAUGGCUGAAUUCAAGCCAGACACAAACUGAAUGAUUAGAACAGUUACUAUCUAGUUCUGGGGACUCGAAAGCUGAACUCAAGGCUUUAGAAGAGCUUUUCCCUUGUUCCCGAGUCCCGGAUGUUCCAGACAGCCCUUAACCAUUCUACACUGUGAUGACUGCUCUUCAAUGCCAACUUGACUACAUCUGAAUUCACUAAAAAUCCAAGUUGCUGGGCACACCUGUGAGGGAUCGUGUGAGGGUUGGAAGACCCUCCCUCUGUCUCACAGCAGCCUUCAUAGAGGACAAGUAGGAAAGAAACCCUGGUCUUUGCGUGCUCGCCUUAGUCUUGACUUGCUGGCAUUAAAGCCUGCUUCUUCAGGAUUCUGACGAGACAUCCAGCGCAAUGGACUGAACAGGUAACUACUGGAAGAUUGGAUUUUGCCCUAGGAGACAGCCAUUGUUGGAUUAGCUGGACCACAGCCUGUAAGCCACUCUUAACAGUUCUCCAUUUCUCUAGAUAACCCUGCUCAAUACACACAUCUUAACAUAUCACCCUCGUGUCUGCUUCCAUCUUCCCACGGCCUUUGAGUACACCCAUGUUUCCUUCUCUUGCUAUAUGGGCAAGUCAUUAGAACUCAGACCAACCAUGUAUGGUCUCUUCUGAAGUGUGUAUGUUUGCCAACACCUUAUAGCCAAGGGAGGUCACAUUCUGGGCUCCAGACGGACAUGCAAUGUGAGAUGUCACUAUUGACCCAUUGUAUAGUGUAUUGUAAUACUGUGGAGGACAAGUAUUACCCCCCCAACCCCCCACUCAAUAAUGUGGUCCCUGAGAUAGGCCUAGACAAUGCUUUAUUGACCUUCUGCUGUCUAACCCCAGUACCCGGCACAGAGAACUAUGAACUAUCCCUGAAAGGCCAAUGAUCUGAACACAUGGUUCUUUCUUUACCAAUUAAAUUUCUUCUAAGUUGAA